CCAGACUCCUACGGGAGGCAGCAGUGGGGAAUAUUGCACAAUGGGGGAAACCCUGAUGCAGCGACGCCGCGUGAAGGAUGAAGUAUUUCGGUAUGUAAACUUCUAUCAGCAGGGAAGAGAAUGACGGUACCUGACUAAGAAGCCCCGGCUAACUACGUGCCAGCAGCCGCGGUAAUACGUAGGGGGCAAGCGUUAUCCGGAUUUACUGGGUGUAAAGGGAGCGUAGACGGUAUGGCAAGUCUGAUGUGAAAACCCGGGGCUCAACCCCGGGACUGCUCUGGAAACUGUACGGCUGGAGUGCAGGAGAGGUAAGUGGAAUUCCUAGUGUAGCGGUGAAAUGCGUAGAUAUUAGGAGGAACACCAGUGGCGAAGGCGGCUUACUGGACUGUAACUGACGUUGAGGCUCGAAAGCGUGGGGAGCAAACAGGAUUAGAUACCCUGGUACA
rnacentral:rRNA from 1 species